GUGUUUAGAUUUUGGUCUUUUUUUUCUUUUUCCUUCAGAUUUUCAUUUGGGUUCUUCUUUGCUCAAACCUUUUGAGAGAACGCCUCACAUUUCAAUUCUCACUUCAUCUUUUCUUAUGCUUCCUCCUUUCCUUUUUUUUUUGGUGAAUUUUGCUGUUCUUCUUCUUACCCUCUGCUUUGCAGCUUUGCGUAUUAUUUUCUGGCUGCCUUUCUUUUUUCUUUCAAUAUUGUAUAUUUUGGUUUUUCUGAAGAGGGACGUUGUUUCUAAUUAGUUGCAUUUUCUAAUUAGUUGCAUACCAUGAACGAAUCAAGAGGGUCGAAUUAAGAAAUAAUCCUGAGGUGUUGGAUGUUGGUUCAAAUAAUCUGUUUCAGCAGCUAUUAUUUUAUGUUUCUCUUCACCGAAUCAUGAAUGGAUUUCUUUAAUGACUUUUUGGUGGUCUUUCUUCAUGUUCUCUGUGUGGGUUCUGCUCAUGCAUGUAAUUAAUUGUUUGACAGCCUUUACGGGAGUACACACAAUGUGUAGAUAAGGUAUUUGAUAAUAUGCCUGACUGCCUGAAAUAGCUUAUCAAUUGUUUAUUUGGUGCCUUUUACCUUUUACAUGUAGUUGAUGAUGUAUUUUACAUGUAGGUGAUGAUAUUUUUGCGUGUUAAAAUGAUUUGUUAUUAUUUAAUUGGUACUUUUAGUUGUAAGCUUACAAGAUUUCAUCUUAUACUAAUAUAACCUUCUUUAAAUUUUCCUCUGUUUAAUUUGUUCAGCCAUUCAUGUGUUUCAAUCUAUUUUUUAAAAGAUAUUUGAACAUCUUGAAAUUUGGGUAAUUUUUGGUUGGAUUUCUGCGUGCAUAUCGGUAAGUUUGUCUGUUUUGCUCAUGCAUGUUUUAUUUUUUCACAAUCAAUCAAUUUUACUUGCAUUGGGCCAUGACGAUUUUGCAACCAGAAUGCUUUUUUAAAGUUUUGGUCUCUGUGUUUACAUAUUUUCCACUACUCAUAUUCAGUGAAUUCUAAUUUCUCGAUUCAUGACAUAAUCGAACGUUUGUGAUCCGUUUAGUUAGAAUAUAAUGAUCACAACUUUUUUAUUCACAGGCUUUUGAAGUGAAAGUCGCUCAAGAUGGGGAAAAAGAGAUACUACUAUAACUGUAAGAGAUAAUUUUGUGCACUGCUUGCUUAAUCAUAAUGCAAAAUGAUUGUGCUUUAUAUUUUAUUUUAUGUUCUAUAGAUUAUCUACUUAAUAAAUUAAAUAUUAAGAUUACAAAAUGUAGACUCUAUUUUUGAAGGAAUUUUAUCAAAUGCCUAAAAACAGAUGUCCAACAAUAAAAGAAAGAUAGACGAAGCCCCAAUAGUCUAUUAGUCCCUUACUCUAUCUGUUUGUACCCGUUUCUAAGUUAUCAAUAUUAUGAUAUGCUAAAACUAAUUUUCAGGUAUUAACUUCACUCAAAAAAGUGACAUUUCCACUCAAUAUGAAGUUUGAAACAUUGAUAAGAAGCUACUUUUUUUGGCCGUCACAUAUGUACUAUCAGCUAUAAUUUUUCACUUUGUAAUGGUUACAUAUGUUCUUGUGAGGUUAAAUAGUCUUCCGUCAUUUUUGUUAUUAUUUCUUGUACUGCAUUUUUGACUAAUGAGAAGAUUCUCUUUAUAAUACUUCUUGGCUUUUGCAGCUUGAAGAUGUGAGAUUAUUUUUUAUCCAGAAAUUUCAUUGACAUCACAGAGGUGAAGUGUAUCCCUUUACUGAGGUUCCUUCAUUGUGGAAUUUGUACAACUUCGUGGUAAAUGCUUCUCAUUAUUAGUAUGAUAAAUUUUGAAAAUGUAUAUUUGUAUCAUAGUAAAGACUAUUCUAUUUGAAGGUUUUCUUGUCAUACGCUUCUACUUAUUGGAGAAAUUUACCGAGGGUGAGUCUAUUCCCGAGUUAUAUGCAUUUACUUUGUAGUACAUUGUAUCUGACUCUUAGUUAAAUCAUAUGUGAUGGUCUGCAAAGUCAACUAUUAUAGUGGCUAUGAGCAGCUUUCCAUGAUGAUCUCAUCGUAAGAGAUUGACUUUCGGACCGUGUUUAUGACAAAUAUAAUAUUUGAUGCAAGUAUGACAAGAUUUGUGCAACUCAAGUACAAGAGUUUUGCUUUAAAACACAACACUCACUUCAGAAACGAAAACAAUUAAUUACAAGCAAAUAAAAAUUCGCUAUCCAUCAAGUCUUUCAAAGGAUUUUGUUCUCGAAGUAAUGUCAUCUGGUAUAUUUGGCUCAAUUUAUACUUUCAUUGUUUAUCUGUAGGAUGAGUGCUUUGGAAUGAUGUAAGCUCAUCCAGCUGAGAGUGAUGUAUAUUUGCUUGGGUUGCUAAGGUGCACCUUUUCCAGUCUUUCUUCUUCGUUUCAUUCUGUUGCAUUUUUUCUUUUAAUAUUUGAUCUUUUAUGUUCUUCGUUAUUGGUCCUUAGCGAUCAAUUUUUCAUUAUCGCUUAGUUUAUAGUUAGCAUCCUGUUUUGAUUAAUACUUUUGUGGCUUGCUGAGAGUUCAUAGACACAAAAUGACCAAAAUAAAAGCAUAAAUAGCAGCUGUGCAAGUUCCUUAAUAGAUAGACCUUAAGAAGUCUUCAACAAUUUAUUAUAAUUAGUGGAGAAGUUCCUCAUGUGUAAAUCAUUGCACAUCUUUUGCUCCUAUAAGUCUAUAACUAUGAAGGUUAAGAAAAUUGUUUUCUAUUCUUAUUUUUCUAAUAGACACUAACAAGAAAAUUGUUUUCUAAUAUACACUAACAAAGAUUUUAAAUUCUUAAUUUUGUAUUAUAUAAAAAAAGCCACGAGUUUUGAUGUGUGUGUUUAGUGGAAUUUAAAUUCCUAAUGAGGGUGUUUUGGACUUGUCAUUGUAGGUACUUAUAUGUGUCUUUCGUCUCACCACUGAACAACCGCGUAGCCUACCAGUCUGUCACUUUUCUAACUCGCUUCGUCUCUCUAGGAAGGUAGAGAGGAAGCCGACGGCUGUCAUCUCCGCACAUUCAAUCUCCUUUCACUUUCAAGUAAACCAAGCUCUGCUCUCUGUUGCAAAACACUUUUCUCUUUCUCUUUUUUUUUUUUGUAGAUUUUGUAUGAUUUUCUGUUAUGUGAAAAAGCCAAGAAAGUUGAGAGAUGCUUGUGGGUGUCUGUUUUGUGAUCUAUGAAAGGUGGUAAAAGAUAUUGAAAUUCUUGAUGGGAAAUGGGUUUCUUUUUAAUUUCUUGGUUAUAAAUAACUAGAUGUAGCGAAUCUUGGAUUAUAAAUGAAAUACACCAGAUUAUUUCUCUAUUUGUUUUGAGUUGUAUAUGUUGAUAUUCCAAAAGUUCCAUACUACUAAUUUGAAUCUCAACUGAUUAUGGAAUUUUCAGGUUUUGCUUCUCUAUCUCAGUGCGCAUCUGUUUCUGUAUGUUAUAAACAUUUGAAUCUUGACUUUUUGAGUUUACAGUUAUUGAAAAUCUUUACGUACUUGGAAAUUCAAAUGUUUUCGCUGUAGGGAGAUUUUCUGGAUGAAUGAACUUCCUGGGAAAUUGAAUCUAAUUAUUUGUUUCUCUUUAAAAGAGAACACGUAAGUGUGACUCAAUUAGUGUUUUCACUUACUCUGAACUAUGCCAUUCAUUUAGAGAUAAAGAGAGCAUGUGACUCAAUUUUUAUUAUUUCCCAUUAAUAGUUAUUAAUUUUAUCUAUUUAUUUUUCCUGGGUGACAUAGGAUUCAGUUGCUCAUAAAUCUGGGCAUCUAACUGUUAGUAUGUCUAUACUUGCAGUUUCUUUCACUCAUAUCAUCAAGAGUAGUUAGCCGGCUUUUAGUAUUUAUUUGUCACUUUGUGCCAAUCACGUCGUUGUUUAUUUUCAGUGUUUUAAUUCAGUCGGAUGCUCUCUUAUGCUUUCUUGACUCCUUGGCUUAAGCAUUGUUUUUGUCUUCUUACUCUUUUUUCCUUCGAGUGCAGGUGGUUCCGCGUGGUUUCUUCCAUGCAUUUUCAGAUGUGUUCGUCAUUCGCAUAUCGUCUGAGAUUAGCUGAUUGCAACCAAAGCCCAGUCAGUGAACUUGACUAUGGUUGAACUUUAGUACUCGAGAUCUAAAAGUAUACUUUUGUCCUAUUUUGCAAACGGAAAAGGGCCAACAAUACCCCUAACGUAUUGAAAAUGGCUCAAAAAUACCAUCGGUUAACCUUUUGGUCCGCAAAUACCCCUAACGUUUGUUUUUUGGGCUUAAACUUACCCUUAUAUCUAACCAAACUUAUCUGGUCAAUUUUUUGACUUUAACUUCGUCAUGUGACAUUUUCUUAACGCAUCACGUAUAUUAUUUGUAUUAAAUAAAACUUGCAUGUAUCUUUUAAAAUACCCAACGACAUUGACCCGCUUCUAUAUAUUUGGACGGUCGGCUAAAAAUAAUUAUAUUCGCUAGUUAAAUAUUUUAAAAAAUAUACAUUGAUUAUAUAAAAAAAUAUGUAUAUCAUACAUUAAUAUUUUAAUAUAUAUUUUACAUGAUAUUACUUUUAGCAGAAAUUAUACGGUGUAGUUUUUUCUAUUAAUUAUGAUCUANN
rnacentral:lncRNA from 1 species